rnacentral:rRNA from 1 species
UACGUAGGGGCUAGCGUUAUCCGGAUUUACUGGGCGUAAAGGGUGCGUAGGUGGUUUCUUAAGUCAGAGGUGAAAGGCUACGGCUCAACCGUAGUAAGCCUUUGAAACUGGGAAACUUGAGUGCAGGAGAGGAGAGUGGAAUUCCUAGUGUAGCGGUGAAAUGCGUAGAUAUUAGGAUGAACACCAGUUGCGAAGGCGGCUCUCUGGACUGUAACUGACACUGAGGCGCGAAAGCGUGGGGAGCAAACAGGAUUAGAUACCCGUGUAGUCCCUGAG